UCUGUCCCUGCACUGUCACCUCUUUUAAAACUAACAAAUGCAUGACAUAUAAUACAAGAUUUAUAAAUUAAAGAAACCCACCCCUUUUAAGUAAUAUUCUUUAAAUCUCAGUUUCUGACAGUCCUCCUAUUUGCUCAGUAACUGUAAUAGGCGUAUUUUUCAGAAAAUAGUGAAUAAAAACUGACAAGCUAUCGGGGGAAUCUGAAUGCAUAAUUGAUAGGGGCAUAAAUUAAUAUGAUUAGGCCUUUAUUGGGUGCCACUGCUGCCAAACCUACAAAAGGGGCAUGGAAUAAAACAUGGCUAUGUUCUCAGGGCUGACAGACAUCAAUAUGUAAUGCAUAUUAUCUCAAACCUUCUCAUGUAGUCUGCGUAUGACAGCACUCAACCUAAUUGAAAUUUUUAUCUUUCUGUUGCAUACAGACAGUUUUGACUAGCUGCUUCCAGGGAAAAGAGAGAAAUCCAAAUGACCCAAAUGAAGGUUUCUCUGUAGAGAAACAAGACUGAUAACCAUGUGACUAGAAAAAACCCUGUGUGUGCUCUGCAGUGUUGUGUGCAUUGUCAGGUGGAUGAGGUGACUUGAGGCUGUAGAGAUUUAAAGGCUGGGCACACAGAGAUAGACACUCAUUCAGUCCACGUGUUCAGCAGCUCUGCUUGUUGUUCAGAGAGGGGGAUAUUACACACUGGAGGAGGAGCCUGAAUUGACACCCAUGCCCGGCUUUCUCCUUUUUUAGCUGUCAGAUACUGCUAGCAUGACCACAGCGGAUGGCUGAGACAGGUAUGGCAAGACUGGA